UACGGGGGGGCAAGCGUUGUUCGGAAUUACUGGGCGUAAAGGGCUUGUAGGUGCACUAAUACGAGACGUGAAAUCCCUCGGCUUAACUCGGGGAACUGCGUCUGAUACUGGAUGGCUGGAGUGUGGGAGAGGGAUGCGGAAUUCCAGGUGUAGCGGUGAAAUGCGUAGAUAUCUGGAGGAACACCGGUGGCGAAGGCGGCAUCCUGGACCAUUACUGACACUGAAAAGCGAAAGCCAGGGGAGCAAACGGG
rnacentral:rRNA from 1 species